AUGCCUGACAACCGUGCAAUUGCUGAGCAACGAGCCUUAGGUUCGAAGAAAAGGUUCAUCAGAGAUAAAGACUUUCACAAAGACUACACUGCCUUCAUGACAGAUCUGAUAUCUAGAGGAUAUGCAAACAGAGUGACAGAAAUCCUCAAGGCUUCUAGUGCCUCCCAAUGGAGGUAUGUGAACACCACGCAUAACCCUGCGGACCUUGCCUCCAGAGGUAUGAAAGCAGAGACCUUUUUACGUGACACUGAAUGGAUAUCUGGCCCCGCAUUUCUUACACAGCCAGAGAACAAUUGGCCUGUGAACCCAGAAAACUUCCAAGAACUUCCACAUGAAGAUCCUGAAGUUAAGGUGUCUGCUGCCAUCGAGGUCUCACAAGCACACGAUGAUGAUCAUCCUCUGACCCUUUUAAUCCAUCGUGCCUCAUCCUGGACUCGUCUCAUCAGGGUGAUGGGUUGGAUUUUCAGGUUCAAGACAUUGCUAUUGCAUCGCAAGAAGAUACAUUUCCAGUCUGCAUCUGAUAUAAUUCAGUUUGAAGACGCUCAACAUAAGGUUGAUUUCCAGCAUGGCUUUCUUUCAUUGGGAGAGAUUAAGGAUGCUGAGAUGCAAAUAAUUAAGUUCUGUCAGAGGAAAAGAUAUGCCAAAGAAAUUUCUUGUCUCCAAAGGGGAGAGUCUGUGAAACGAAGCAGCCACAUAUAUAAGUUGAAUCCUAUUCUGGAGGAUGAUGUGCUGCGGGUUGGUGGACGUCUCAGUAGGGCUGUCAUGUCAGAAGAAUCCAAGCAUCCUGUCAUAAUUGCUAAAGAGCUUCACAUUUCUAAUCUCAUUCUACAGCAUAUUCAUAAAGAGGUGGGUCAUGGUGGAAGGAACCACAUACUCUCAAAGCUGCAUCAAAAAUACUGGAUUCCUGGUGCUGGUACUUUGAUUCAAAGCAUCAUGUCGAGGUGUGUGACCUGCAGAAGGUUUCCUGGAGCUGCAGGCCAGCAGCAGAUGGCUGAGUUGCCUCAAAGCAGAGUGACCCCUGAGAAACCCCCAUUUAGCUUUGUUGGAGUGGACUAUUUUGGUCCAUUUGAAGUGAAGCGUGGGAGAAGUCUUGUGAAGCGAUAUGGUGUUAUUUUUACUUGUUUGGCAAUUAGAGCAGUACAUAUUGAGGUUGCCUCAUCUCUUGACACUGACUCUUUUAUUAACGCCUGUGGAAAAGAGGAAAUUGCUUUACUGCUACAAUAUAUUAGAUAG
rnacentral:lncRNA from 1 species